rnacentral:misc_RNA from 1 species
CCUCUUCCAUCUGCUCUCCACAAGUGUUUCCGCAUAUGUGUGAUGAACACACGCCUCCUUUGAUCUGUUCUGUGAUGUCUUCACUACACACGCCGCGUCGUUGUGCCGCUAGAGGGUGAUGACGGCGGAUUUCCGUUGAGUGGCUGCUUGUAAAAAAAGAAGAAUAAAAAACGAAGCCAAAAGACGUGCACAGACUGUCGCUUCUAUCCGCUGCGCCGACAGCGAGGCGCACACCGCGUUUUUUUUCCCUUCUUGCUCACUUCAGGCCUCUUAGUGAUCCCGGUGUAACGGGUGUCGGCGCGGAAGAGAGGCUCCGUCGAUGAUGUGCGCGCCACUGCGAAUACCACACAGACAGGCAGCACAGCCCCUGCACAGCCAUCGCCGCCGCUGUUCACGUCACUGACUCAGGUAGCGAGUCUCUUUGACAGUGCCUCCCAUCGCCUUCCUCUCGUUAGCGUUUCUAAUAGCAGUGCUUCGAAUGGAUCCUACGUGCCCGCUCACCGGUUUUCUCGGCAUGUGCCGGCAAUCCUUUCAUCUCCGUCGGCAGGCUUCGAAGGAAGCGGUAUCGUGAUGGCUGUUGCUGCCCCGACGCUCAGCUGGGCUCCUUACCAGCACCUUGUGGCGAAGAAAAGAGCCCUGUGCGACAACGUGGAAGCAUUCCAGGCACUUCUCCUGCGACUGGCUGCGCUGCUCAGCCAUGUUCAUGAAGCGCACAGCUACUGGAAAGCAGGACCGGCACGCGAACGGUGCUGCCGAAAGAGCUGGGCACCUUCGGUGUCGAUGCGGCAAUGCCGUCAUCAGUAGUAAGGGCAGGCUCCUUUCCACCUAAGGAAUUCGAUGGAAGGGAGAUCCAAGUACUGUUAGAUAUGGCCGACAGGAAGGACACCGUGAUUUCGUCCGCUCAGCAGCUGUUGCGGCAUCAAGAAGGUCAUUCCGAUGAGGUACUCGAUAGCCUCGUAAAGAAGAAGAGCGCACUUAUCGAACGGAUGAUGCUGAGAAUUGACGACGAGAAGCGUCAGCAGCCGAAAAACGUUAGUGCUUUUGGGCAGACCUACGCUCCCAGGAGCUGAUUUCUCUUGCGAUGUGUGACACGAGUCGGCCGGUAAGUGCGCACACCCAACACAUGCACGCACAAGGACAAACUCACUCGGUCCUCCUAUCCGUAUUCCGCCUCUUUCUCCCCAAUUGCUCUUCUCUGCUAUGUCGACGUG